rnacentral:tRNA from 1 species
GGGUCGGUAGUCUAGUCUGGUUAGGAUAUCUGCCUGACACGCAGAAGAUCGUCGUUAAGUGACGGGCUGAGAUCCCCUGUUCGAAUCAGGGCCGACCCA